rnacentral:rRNA from 1 species
GAUCAUGGCUCAGGAUGAACGCUGGCGGCGUGCUUAACACAUGCAAGUCGAACGAAGCCAAAAGGAAGCUUGCUUCUUGAAGCUUAGUGGCGGACGGGUGAGUAACGCGUGAGUAACCUGCCCUUCAGUGGGGAAUAACACAGAGAAAUCUGUGCUAAUACCGCAUAACGUCUUCUUGCCGCAUGACAGGAAGACCAAAGGAUUUAUUCGCUGAAGGAUGGACUCGCGUCCGAUUAGCUAGUUGGUGAGGUAACGGCCCACCAAGGCGACGAUCGGUAGCCGAACUGAGAGGUUGAUCGGCCACAUUGGGACUGAGACACGGCCCAGACUCCUACGGGAGGCAGCAGUGGGGAAUAUUGGGCAAUGGGCGAAAGCCCUGACCCAGCAACGCCGCGUGAAGGAAGACGGUCUUCGGAUUGUAAACUUCUUUGAUUGGGGAAGAAACAAAUGACCUACCCAAAGAACAAGUCACGGCUAACUACGUGCCAGCAGCCGC